rnacentral:rRNA from 1 species
UACGUAGGUGGCAAGCGUUGUUCGGAAUUAUUGGGCGUAAAGCGCACGUAGGCGGAUCGUUAAGUCAGGGGUGAAAUCCUGGAGCUCAACUCCAGAACUGCCUUUGAUACUGGCGAUCUUGAGUCCGGAAGAGGUGAGUGGAACUCCUAGUGUAGAGGUGGAAUUCGUAGAUAUUAGGAAGAACACCAGUGGCGAAGGCGGCUCACUGGUCCGGUGCUGACGCUGAGGUGCGAAAGCGUGGGGAGCAAACAGG